rnacentral:rRNA from 1 species
AACGAACGCUGGCGGCAGGCUUAACACAUGCAAGUCGAACGCUCGUAGCUAUACGGGAGUGGCGGACGGGUGAGUAACGCGUGGGAACGUGCCCUGAGGUACGGAAUAACUGCGGGAAACUGCAGCUAAUACCGUAUGAGCCCCGCAAGGGGGAAAGAUUUAUCGCCUUAGGAGCGGCCCGCGUCGGAUUAGCUAGUUGGUGGGGUAACGGCUUACCAAGGCUUCGAUCCGUAGCUGGUCUGAGAGGACGAUCAGCCACACUGGGACUGAGACACGGCCCAGACUCCUACGGGAGGCAGCAGUGGGGAAUCUUGCGCAAUGGGGGCAACCCUGACGCAGCCAUGCCGCGUGAAUGAUGAAGGCCUUAGGGUUGUAAAGUUCUUUUGCCCGUGACGAUGAUGACGGUAACGGGAGAAUAAGCUCCGGCUAACUUCGUACCAGCCGCCGCCGUAACAC